ACAGGACUGAAUCACUUAUGUGACGUACUGAAGGAUUCACGCUGUAAACUGGAGAGAUUGAGUCUUCGUGUCUGUGACAUUACAGAUGUUUCUUUGACAAACACAAAAGCUCUGCAGUUUCUAAAACAGCUUGAUCUGAGAUACAAUAAGAUUAGCGACUCAAAGCAGAAGCUCAUUGAUGUGCUACGAGACUCAAACUGUGAACUGAGUCUCUGAUAGAGAUCCAUCACCAACAAUCCCAUCAAUCCCAAGAAAUACGCCAUUGAGUUCAAUCACCAAAAGCUGAUAAAUGCUGUGUAUCAUAAAGUGAAGUGUUCUUGAGAGGAGCAGUAAACAUCAGCUGAAGAUCCACAGAAGAGCUUCACUACUGUGUCUAUGAGGAGAAUAAAUGUGUGAUAAAUGUGUAAAUGUGAUCCAUACAGGUGAAGAGACUCAGAC